rnacentral:rRNA from 1 species
GCGGAGCGUGUGGUUUAAUUCGUUGACUACGACGAAGAACCUUACUGGGCUUGGAACUGCGGGUAUAGCUGCCUGAAAAGGUUAGUCGAUCCCCUUCGGGGAACCUGUAGAGGUGCUGCAUGGCUGUCGUCAGGCUCGUGUCGUGAGAUGUUGGGUUAAGUCCCGCAACGAGCGCAACCCUUGCCAUUAGUUGUCAGCGAGUCAUGUCGGAUACUCUAAUGGGACUGCCGGUGACGAGCCGGAGGAAGGUGGGGAUGACGUCAAGUCAGCAUGGCCUUUAUGUCCAGGGCCACACACGUGCUACAAUGGACGGUACAGAGGGACGCAAGACCGCAAGGUGGAGCAAAUCCUCAAAACCGUUCUCAGUUCGGAUUGUAGGCUGCAAUUCGCCUACAUGAAGCUGGAAUUGCUAGUAAUCGCAGAUCAGCUACGCUGCGGUGAAUACGUUCUCGGGCCUU